GGAAGUGAGGUAGUCUGGAGUCAGCGCGGGACUUGGCAGCUGCCAGGAGGGGCUUGGAUCCGCGGUGUUUAGUGCCGUUUGAGUAGGGGUUCAUCUGGUCGAUGCGGAUGGCUGAGGUUUGCCUGAAUCCAUCAUUGCGGCUGCAUGUUCAAGGAGUGGCCAGAGGGUUCUGCAUGUUGAUUCG